rnacentral:tmRNA from 1 species
GGGGAUGAUCGGUUUCGACGAUGGCCUAAUUCCAGGGGAAGCGGGUCGAGGAUGUACAGAGAUCUCGUUAACCAUCUGUGCAAACCAUUAGGUGCCGAAUCUAAGAGCACCGACUUCGCCCUUGCUGCCUAAGCAAGCCGCGUAGUCUGUUGGCCCGGGGAUGCUCUCGCCUCGGUUCCCAGCAUCAUUUAGAGAGCCACUGCUGACCUACCACGCUGUCGGGUAGGUCGGGACUUUUAGACAGCUGAGCUUGUCAGCGGCUGGUCUGCGUGACCGCUGGAGCUGAGAAAACGCAGUGCAGACUGCACCCGGAGAAGCCCUGUUUUUACUCCAUCGGACCCGGGUUCGAUUCCCGGCAUCUCCACGA